UGUCUACAAUUUGACGGUAAAAAAAUACUUAAAAAUUUUUCAAGUCAAAUUAAAAAUAAAUUGACAUAAAAUUUGCCUGAAAAUUGACGACAACUUUUUUCUAGUUAACUUUUGAACUGAAUUCGAAUUCUAAUUCGAGUAGUAAAUUUACGUGAAAUUGUAGAGGAAGUUGUAUACAAAUUGUCGUAAAAAACGGAAAAGUCCGAAGUUGACGGAGAUUUGACGAAAAAUUCAAGGAAACUUUUGAACUGACACGGAGGCGUGGCUUAAAAAACAUGUCGGACAGUAGCUUACACUUUUAAAUGCGUAAUCCAUGUAGGAGUAGGGUAAAUACAUAAAAUGUUAUUAAAUUUUGUAGACAUAUUAUCUUGGACGGGUAAAAACCCAAAGCAAAAAAAUAUACAUGAUGCCGAACGAAUUUUAUAUGUUGCCCUAAUAGCCACACUCUAAAUAUAAUUGCUUAGCAAGGUCUGCAGUGAAACAUUUACGGCUAACUUAACGACAAGUUUCUGAGAUUAAGAUACAGAAAAUCAAUUCAUUUCGAAUCAAGGACAAUAGUCCCACUAAUUUUAUGAUCGAAUUUAGUAGGUAGCCAUGUCCUAUGGCCGACGUAUAAGUACCGUAAAGUUGAUGGGUAACCAAUAUUAAUACCAAGAUGUAAAUUUGAAAAUAACUAAUAAAGAAUCAGGUCUCUUUUUUCGAUUUUUAUUUAAUUAAUUAAAUAAGAUAAUUCAUUAAUUAA